rnacentral:rRNA from 1 species
GAUGAACGCUGGCGGCGUGCCUAAUACAUGCAAGUCGAGCGAACGGACGAGAAGCUUGCUUCUCUGAUGUUAGCGGCGGACGGGUGAGUAACACGUGGAUAACCUACCUAUAAGACUGGGAUAACUUCGGGAAACCGGAGCUAAUCCCGGAUAAUAUUUUGAACCGCAUGGUUCAAAAGUGAAAGACGGUCUUGCUGUCACUUAUAGAUGGAUCCGCGCUGCAUUAGCUAGUUGGUAAGGUAACGGCUUACCACGGCAACGAUGCAUAGCCGACGUGAGAGGGUGGUCGGCCACACUGGAACGGGGACAGGGUCCAGGCGCCUGCGGGAGGGAGCAGUAGGGAAUCUGACGCAAUGGGCGGAAGCAUGACGGAGCAACGCGGCGUGAGUGAUGAAGGUCUUCGGAUCGUAAAGCUCUGUUAUGAGGGAAGAACAGAUGUGGAAGUAGCUGUGGACAUCGUGACGGUACCUAAUCAGAAAGCAACGGCUAACUACGUG